rnacentral:piRNA from 1 species
UGAACCUGGUGCGGAAGAGCUGAG